rnacentral:rRNA from 1 species
AAUCAACGCUGGCGGCGUGCCUAACACAUGCAAGUCGAACGCGACUGGGGCUUCGGCCUCAGUUGAGUGGCGAACGGGUGAGUAACACGUGGGUGACCUACCUUCGAAUGGGGGGAUAACGUCCCGAAAGGGACGCUAAUACCGCAUAACAUCCUGCCUUUGAACAGCGGAGAUCAAAGCCGGGGAUCGCAAGACCUGGCGUUUGAAGAGGGGCCCGCGUCCGAUUAGCUAGUUGGUGAGGUAACGGCUCACCAAGGCGACGAUCGGUAGCCGGCCUGAGAGGGCGGACGGCCACACUGGGACUGAGACACGGCCCAG